GGGUUGUGAGGUUAAGCGACUAAGCGUACACGGUGGAUGCCCUGGCAGUCAGAGGCGAUGAAGGACGUGCUAAUCUGCGAAAAGCGCCGGUAAGGUGAUAUGAACCGUUAUAACCGGCGAUGUCCGAAUGGGGAAACCCAGUGUGAUUCGUCACACUAUCAUUAACUGAAUCCAUAGGUUAAUGAGGCGAACCGGGGGAACUGAAACAUCUAAGUACCCCGAGGAAAAGAAAUCAACCGAGAUUCCCCCAGUAGCGGCGAGCGAACGGGGAGGAGCCCAGAGUCUGAAUCAGUUUGUGUGUUAGUGGAAGCGUCUGGAAAGUCGCGCGAUACAGGGUGAAAGCCCCGUACACAAAAAUGCACAGGCUGUGAGCUCGAUGAGUAGGGCGGGACACGUGGUAUCCUGUCUGAAUAUGGGGGGACCAUCCUCCAAGGCUAAAUACUCCUGACUGACCGAUAGUGAACCAGUACCGUGAGGGAAAGGCGAAAAGAACCCCGGCGAGGGGAGUGAAAAAGAACCUGAAACCGUGUACGUACAAGCAGUGGGAGCACCCUUCGGGGUGUGACUGCGUACCUUUUGUAUAAUGGGUCAGCGACUUAUAUUCUGUAGCAAGGUUAACCGUAUAGGGGAGCCGAAGGGAAACCGAGUCUUAAUUGGGCGUUAAGUUGCAGGGUAUAGACCCGAAACCCGGUGAUCUAGCCAUGGGCAGGUUGAAGGUUGGGUAACACUAACUGGAGGACCGAACCGACUAAUGUUGAAAAAUUAGCGGAUGACCUGUGGCUGGGGGUGAAAGGCCAAUCAAACCGGGAGAUAGCUGGUUCUCCCCGAAAGCUAUUUAGGUAGCGCCUCGUGAAUUCAUCUUCGGGGGUAGAGCACUGUUUCGGCCAGGGGGUCAUCCCGACUUACCAACCCGAUGCAAACUGCGAAUACCGAAGAAUGUUAUCACGGGAGACACACGGCGGGUGCUAACGUCCGUCGUGAAGAGGGAAACAACCCAGACCGCCAGCUAAGGUCCCAAAGUCAUGGUUAAGUGGGAAACGAUGUGGGAAGGCCCAGACAGCCAGGAUGUUGGCUUAGAAGCAGCCAUCAUUUAAAGAAAGCGUAAUAGCUCACUGGUCGAGUCGGCCUGCGCGGAAGAUGUAACGGGGCUAAACCAUGCACCGAAGCUGCGGCAGCG
rnacentral:rRNA from 1 species